ensembl:lncRNA
CGCUCAUGACAACGGGGACGGGACAAAGGGACCAGGCGUGACACUGCUUCCACCUUUAGUGGGGACACGGGGACAGGACGGGGACACGGGGACGGGGAUGGGGACAUGGGGACGGGGAUGGGGAUACGGGGAUGGGGACACGGGGACAGGGAUGGGGACAUGGGGAUGGGGACAAGGGGACGGGAUGGGGACAGGGACAUUGGGAUGGGGACACGGGGGAUGGGGACAGGGCAGGGACAUUGGGAUGGGGACACGGGGACACCACGGGGUUGGGGACACGGGGACGGGGCCACGGGGCCACCACGGGUUCCGUCCCUACGACAGGUCCAGCAGCUCCUCCGAGUGUCCCCAACCUGCACAGGGGACACGGUGAGGGACGGGGACGGGGCCGUGUCCCCGCGUGUCCCCCCACGUCCCCGCUGUCCCCAUACCGCGGCUGCCGCUGUCCCCGAUGUCCCCAAGGUCCUCCUCGCUCCAGCUCCUCCCCGCGCUCCUCGGACACCCCCGGCACCGGGGACGUGUCCCCAGUCCUCGGGGACGUGUCCCCAAUCCUCGGGACCACGUCCCCAGCCUUCGGGGAAAUGUCCCCAGUCCUUGGGGACGUCCUUGGGGACCUGUCCCCGGUCUUUGGGGCCACAUCCCCGGUCCUUGGGGACCUGUCUCAGGUCCUUCAGGUCCUUGGGGACGUGUCCCCGGUCCUUGGGGACGUGACCCCAAACCUUGGGGACGUGACCCUGGUCCUUGGGGACGUGACCCUGAUCCUUCAGGUCCUUGGGGAACGUGUCCCCAACCCUUGGGGCCACAUCCCAGGUCCUUGGGGACGCGUCCCCGGUCUUUGGGGCCACAUCCUCAGUCCUUGGGGCCACGUCCCCAGUCCUCGGGGACCCAUCCCUGGUCCUUGGGGACCUGUCCCCAACCCCUGGGGACGCGUCCCCGGUCUUUGGGGCCACAUCUCCGGUCCUCGGGGCCACGACCCCAAUCCUUGGGGACGUGUCCCCGGUCCUUGGGGACCCAUCUCAGGUCCUUCAGGUCUUUGGGGACCCAUCCCUGGCCCUUGGGGACCCGUCCCUGUCCCUUGGGGAUGUGUCCCCAACCCUUGGGGCCACAUCCCCGGUCCUUGGGGACCCGUCCCCAGUCCUUCGGGUCCUUGGGGACGCGUCCCCGGUCUUUGGGGCCACAUCCCCAGUCCUUGGGGCCACAUCCCUGGUCCUUGGGGACGUGUCCCCAGUCCUUGGGGACGUGUCCCCAAUCCUUGGGGACCCAUCCCUGGACCUUGGGGACGUGUCCCCAAUCCUUGGGGACCCAUCCCUGGACCUUGGGGUCCUGUCCCCAGUCCUUGGGGACCCGAUCCUGGUCCUUGGGGUCCUGUCCCCAGUCCUUGGGGACCCAUCCCUGGACCUUGGGGACCCGUCCCCAAUCUUUGGGGACCCGUUCCCGGUCCUUGGGGUCCUGUCCCCAGUCCUUGGGGUCCUGUCCCCAAUCCUUGGGGACCCGUCCCCGGUCCUUGGGGCAUUGUCCCCGAGCUGGGGGGUGGCCCCGAUGUCCCCGAGCCGGCGGGUGGCCCUGGGGACAUCGUUGUCCCCAAGGAGCCGGGUGGCAGCAGGUGCAGCAAGCGGAGCAGCGAGGCCAGCGCCUGUCCCCAGGGCUGCUUGGGGACGGGGACGGGGACACCGGCGGGGCCGCGCUCGGCCGAGGCUGUAGGGAGGUGGCACGGGGGGGGGGGACAAGUCCCUUUGUGUCCCCACAGCCCCUCCGUGCCACAUCCCCAUGUCCCCAAUGUCCCCCCAUGUCCCCCAUGUCCCCAAUGUCCCCCAUGUCCCCCAUGUCCCCCAUGUCCCCAAUGUCCCCAAUGUCCCCCCGACAUCCCCAAUGUUCCCACAUGUCCCCAAUCCCCCCCAUGUNNNNNNNNNNNNNNNNNNNNNNNNNNNNNNNNNNNNNNNNNNNNNNNNNNNNNNNNNNNNNNNNNNNN